GACUAGGCAUAGUGGAGCCAAAUGCAAAAUUCAUUGCCAGGGAACCAAAUGCAUACGGAGUAAGCAGGUGAACGGUGAACUUGGCAUAUGAUCCAUGCUAUAAUUCUGGCUGGAAUUGGGUUUGGUCCAUGUAUAAUCAUCAGGGGCAUACCUUGGGCCUUUUGUUUUUUUUUUUUUUUUUGCAUGUCUUGGGCCCAUGCCAAGUUUGGGCCUAAGUUUUACUAUGUCGAUGGGGCUUGGACUUACAUCAACCAGACCUUUCGUCAGGCCUAGUUCCCAAGGAAAAUUGCUUUGAAGUUUCACAUCUGCUUCUAUUUUUGUCAAUGUUUUUGAAAUCAUUCCUUUUUCUUGUAGACUCCAUAAACUUUUUCUUUGAUCUAAACCCUUUUUCUUCUUCUUCCUAAUCUAGGAUGAUUCGGAAUGUACGGGUUGAGGCAACAAAAUUAGAUGACAUGUUUGCGCAAGUCCAAGAAACCCAAGAAUCUGUUAGACUUGCACUUUUAAACUGCUUCAUGGAUUUUGCAGGUUAUCCUGAGCAGAUAGGGAGUGGACUCUCUCAAAGUAAUUCAUAUAAAGAAAUCUCGAACUUACAAAAUGCUUUACCUCUCUCAACAAGCCAAAGAUCUCAGUUCUGUUGCUUGGUCAUGCAUCAUGACAUGCUCUGCGGCCUACGCCAUGCAUCAUGCAUGCUUAAACAAGGAGUGGAGCAUGGAGGAUUUUUUUAUUUAUUUUUCAUGUAUUCAGACCAUUGUAAACUUAUUGUUGUAAAUAUAUAUAAUUUUUAUUAUAAAGUUGUACAAUAAUUUUGGAGAAAA